UUUAAAUGAGUUGCGUGCAGUUAGGACAAUGAAACAAGCACACAAAGUAAAAAGAAAGUCAACGUUGCUGGACUUCACACAGAUUGAUGUAACUGCAUACUUAAUGGUUAUCGUAGCGUCAGCGUUAGCAUUCAAUGUUUACAUCCAGGUCUAUUUUUAGGAUACAUCAUUAAGUGAUCGGCGGGUCAAUGGAAAUUUACCCACAGAGUCAAGCGGUAAACAUGUAAGUGAAUGUUUUGAAGGAAUGUACAGUGAAGUGACAGUUAUCCCGAAAGUCUAGCCACGAUCGACAUCAACUGGUGUAUUUUAGAUCUAUUGAAAACUGCAAAAAUAUAGCAAGACAUUUCUAUUGUAGAAGAUAAAUUGGAUCCAAAUCAACGAACUUGAACAAUGCAAGCCAUGUGAUGCAGAAAAGGUUGUCGCACAGAAGUAUAUUCAAUUUUGGAAUCCCGUACUUCGUAAUAAGAAAUCCAUUAUCAUCUGUCCAUCCAAGUGAUUAGCCAUCCUCGUCAUCGGGAGAUGGAAUCAGUAGGCUUGAUUUUACUGAUUCCAUUCUGUGUUUGUUUUCUGUUGCUAUUCAUAGUGUGCUGUUUUGCGGACGAAAUCAAGAAAAUGUGUCGUAUGCCAAACCAACUUCCGCAACAUUAUAUUCCAAGUGAUCGCGCCGAAGCCGAUCGUGAACGCCGUAGGCGUGAAAGACGGCGCCAGCGCCAAAUGCGAGCAGGUGUUCAUGGACAAAGACAGUUAGAAUCGGACAUCGAAUCAUUGAUGGGUUCACGCAGUCGAAAUUCUUCGGGUAGUUCAGGGUACAGUUCAGAGGUUAGUCCAUUCCUCGUUUUGGCGGUAGUUACGUCAGAGGUGCAACCAAAUGGGGAAGUUGUUACUUCACACGUGGACGCACAAAGUUUGUUGCAAUCAGAGACUUCAAAUGGACCAGGGCUUAGUGCGUCACAGACAAUCAACUACAGUAUAGAAGACAAGGAGAAAGUCUAGCAUACCACCAGUGUUCCAUUUGAUCAUUUAUUGUAAUUUUAUAUAUGUUGUUACGCUUACUUUUGUGAUACAAACAAUGUAAUCAGGACGAGAUAAGUUUUUUGUGUCUUGUCUCUGAAUGAAAUGAUCGCUUUAAUAUUCUACAUGCUCAAAACAUUGCGUAUCGAACAAAUACUUAAAUACCGGUAUAUGCUCCUGUUUACUUAAUUGAAGUUCAUUUAUACUAUGGAAUUAUUACUAACUGAAUGGUCGUAAGUUAGAAAAGUCAGUCUGUCCAUUCUGAGGACAGGUGAGCUAUCUCGUCGUCUGGCAUCAUUUUCACCUGUUAUAACAAGAUUCCAGUGACCAUUAGAACCUAUAACCUGUCAUCGAAUUUUUUACUUUUUCUGAGUCAUUAUCGAGACGUACAUUAAUUCUAAGGAUUGUCCAUCUGCAGUAUGCAUCCAAUCUGUUGUUAGAUGUUACCAAUAAUGAAAACUUCUAUUUGGACUCUGAAUAUAUACAUUAUAUGAGUAAUUACUCCUAUCUCAAUAUUUCACUUCUGCUGUUUGAUCACUUUGCUGUUAGAAAUUUUAAGUUUAGUCAUGAAAUCUUAGCUUCACACUUGUGUUGAAUAUUUUGAAUUACUGCCUGCAGUCCUACCAUGUGUUGAUACAUCGUGUUUUACAUAUUUUGAAUCAGCCGAAGGGUAUCUAAUGAGAUUAGCCAUUCAGUCAAUAAGUUUCUGUGAACAUUUAUUUUCAUGAAUCUCAAUUUUUUUAUGCGGAUUUAAAUGUUUGUCUCCUUCAUUUGUAUUUUUAUUGUAUGUCAUGUAUAUUAAUUAUAUUUGAGAACAAUUUACAAGUUAGUACUUUUUACCACCCUGCGUAUUUUUAAUUAUAUUGUACAAUCAAAUUAAGUUAUAUAAAUGUGAGUGUUACAUGAUGUAUGAACAAUCAAGAUAUGUGUAAUUUAAUGAUUCUGUUUUCCCGGUAAAAACUUGAAAGUACAAUAAAUGCAACAGCUACA